rnacentral:lncRNA from 1 species
CAAUUUCAUGGUCCACUGAACAUAGAAAAUGAAAGUGCGAAGUUCAGGUUAAAGUUUUUGGUCAAGGUAGUUUUUGAUGAAGUUAAAGUCACAUCUACUUGAAACUUAGUACACAUGUUCCCUAUGAUAUGAUCUUUCUAAUUUUAAUUCCAAAUUAAAUUUUUGACCCCAAUUUCACGGUCCAUUGAACAUGGAAAAUUAUAGUGCGAGUGGGGCAUCCGUGUACUAUG